AGUGUAAUUGCUGGAUCACAUGGUAAGAUUACGCUUAACUUUUGAGGAAAUUGCCAAAUGGUCUUUUAAAGUGACUAUGCCAUUUUGCAUUCCUAUAAGCAAU
rnacentral:pre_miRNA from 1 species